rnacentral:piRNA from 1 species
UGGCAGGCCAUCUGUGACGCGAAAGCAUU